rnacentral:rRNA from 1 species
CCUACGGGAGGCAGCAGUGGGGAAUAUUGCACAAUGGGCGCAAGCCUGAUGCAGCGACGCCGCGUGAGGGAUGACGGCCUUCGGGUUGUAAACCUCUUUCAGUAGGGAAGAAGCGAAAGUGACGGUACCUGCAGAAGAAGCGCCGGCUAACUACGUGCCAGCAGCCGCGGUAAUACGUAGGGCGCAAGCGUUAUCCGGAAUUAUUGGGCGUAAAGAGCUCGUAGGCGGUUUGUCGCGUCUGCCGUGAAAGUCCGGGGCUCAACUCCGGAUCUGCGGUGGGUACGGGCAGACUAGAGUGAUGUAGGGGAGACUGGAAUUCCUGGUGUAGCGGUGAAAUGCGCAGAUAUCAGGAGGAACACCGAUGGCGAAGGCAGGUCUCUGGGCAUUAACUGACGCUGAGGAGCGAAAGCAUGGGGAGCGAACAGGAUUAGAUACCCUGGUAGUCCAUGCCGUAAACGUUGGGCACUAGGUGUGGGGGACAUUCCACGUUUUCCGCGCCGUAGCUAACGCAUUAAGUGCCCCGCCUGGGGAGUACGGCCGCAAGGCAAAACUCAAAGGAAUUGACGGCUGAGAGNGCGAGCGACGACGAGGGAGAG